rnacentral:rRNA from 1 species
GGGUUCAUACGUUGGUCGGGCUAUUUGGUCUGUACUUAUGUAAUGGAUUCCUACCUUCUGAAUAACCGGCAUGCCAUUAAUUUGGUGUUGCGGGGAAUUUGGACUGUUACUUUGAAAAAAUUAGAGUGUUUAAAGCAAGCUAACGCUUGAAUACAUUAGCAUGGAAUAAUGAAAUAGGACGUUCGAUCCUAUUUUGUUGGUUUCUAGGAUUGACGUA